CCUACGGGCGGCAGCAGUAGGGAAUCUUCCACAAUGGGCGAAAGCCUGAUGGAGCAACGCCGCGUGGGUGAAGAAGGUCUUCGGAUCGUAAAACCCUGUUGUUAGAGAAGCAAGUGCGUGAGAGUAACUGUUCACGUUUCGACGGUAUCUAACCAGAAAGCCACGGCUAACUACGUGCCAGCAGCCGCGGUAAUACGUAGGUGGCAAGCGUUAUCCGGAUUUAUUGGGCGUAAAGGGAACGCAGGCGGUCUUUUAAGUCUGAUGUGAAAGCCUUCGGCUUAACCGGAGUAGUGCAUUGGAAACUGGAAGACUUGAGUGCGGAAGAGGAGAGUGGAACUCGAGGUGUAGCGGUGAAAUGCGUAGAUAUAUGGAAGAACACCAGUGGCGAAAGCAGCUCGCUGGUCUGUAACUGACGCUGAGGUUCGAAAGCGUGGGUAGCGAACAGGAUUAGAUACCCGUGUAGUC
rnacentral:rRNA from 1 species